rnacentral:lncRNA from 1 species
AUUUUUAUUUUAAAUGAAAUGUCCAGAACAGGCAAAUCCUUAGAGAUAAAAAGUAGAUUAGUGGUGGCCAGUGGCUGAGAGGAGACUGAGUAGGGAGUGAAGGCUAAUGAAUAACGGGCUUUCUUUGAAGAUGAUAAAAUUUUUCUGAAAUUAGAUAGUGGUGAUGGCUGUAAAACUUUGUGACUGUACUAAAAGCUACUGAAUUUUAUAUUUCAAAAGGGUGAAUUUUAUGGUGUGUGAAUUAUAUCUCAAUAAAAAAAAUAAAAGAUAUACUCUCGGUAUCAAAUGGUUUUUAACAUAAAGGUUGCAUUACCACAUAGAUGACUCUGAGAUGUAUCUCCCGAAUACUGAAUAAGUUUUCAAAAGAAACGAAACCAUUAAAAGAUUCAAUAAUCGACUAAAACUUUGAGCUGUUUUUCCUUCCAUGUAGGUAGCCUCAUUUUUCAGCCAAUUAAAGCAAGUAAACCUGAACUGAAACCACACAGAUUCACAGGGUCCGUGGAGAGCAAGUCUAUGAAGCUGCGCUGGCGGUCUCAGGCCUUCCCGUCUGGUUUCUGGGACUUUCCUGCCCUUUUGUUUCAGGCGCCCUGCAGCUCACAGGUGCCUUGUGAAGUUUUGCACCACGCUUCCUCCUCACUGCUUCUGAGAAGCUCACCCAGAGCUUGCAAGGUGGGGUCCCUAUCCCAACUGCCGUCAGUUCAAUCUGAGGAAUGAGGCUCUCAAGAGAAACUUCAGGCCUCAGGUCCAGGCGAGUGGGGAGACAUCCUUAGACAGCAGGCCGACUCCUUGAUCACGUCAGGGACGGCACAGAGGGGACACCUCACACAGGACCCACUCUUAGUCCUUAGCAUAGCUUCUGGCCUAUCUGUCAGCAAAAGUCGGCCGUGCCCCUAGGAGGAGUCUCCAGAAGGUUAAAUUGUAUGUAAAAAUCCAGAAGGAACUUUGGAUGGCUCAGUGAGUAUUUCCCAUGUUAAGUCAAAUGCUAUUUAAUACGUUUUAGUUUCAACUCAGCUGAGUUUCACAUCGUUAUGAAUGACAAAUUUAAGAUAAGGAUCCCAUGCUGUCCGCACAAUCAUCCCUUUAGCUAGAGAGUGAGGCCCCACUAUAGGGUCAACCUUCUGUCCCUCCCUCCCUCUGCUUUUAAGAUGUUUUCUGCCUAGAAGGCUCCUCAGACGCUUGUGCAUCUGGUCUCCUAGGAGGAGACCCAGCCUCGCAUUUGCCGGCAGGGGCAGAAGUACGCUUGAGGCCCCCGCCCUCCAACCCACGCCUGCCCCUGUUGUUUCCUCAUCAUCUUUUCGGUCUUGCAACUUGAGGGACCUCGUGCACACUCCUGGGUAUGUGGACAUCCCAGCUCAAAUGUAGGAGGCCUGCAAAGAGCUGCCCUUGGCCACUGUCAGGCUAGGGAUGCAGGGAAUAGCUGUGAUGCUGAGACUUGAAGAGGCCCAGGCAGGUUCUAGAAGCAGGCUGGCACUUUGAGGAAGGAAAUGUCAGGGUUCAGGGUAUCCAAGGCAGGGACUGGAGGAAGUGCACUGGUUCCAGGUGGCCAUUCCCCCUUGGCUUCGCGGACUGCUCUUAACUAAAGCUUGGGCCUCAGGCUGGGGCCCCCUUUGCCUGGUUCUAAGGGCGGAACUGCCUGGAGCUCCCCUGCCACAGUCUUCCAGGCACACGCAGCCACCAAGGACAUCUUACCUCUGCCAGGAAUCCCAGCUUAGUCUUAAACCACCUUUUUACCCACACCCCUUUCUCCAUAAUACAGCACUCACACCUUAUACGCAUCUAUAAGGCAUGCAAAUAAGUGUAAUUCUCUUGUUAGAUGAAGGCAAGAAGUCCCUGCAAUCUAGAGUAAACCAGGCUAAGGUCCAGGUCUUGCAGAGACCAUGUAGAACACACACUCCUUCUUCCACACGGAAUUAUGAAACUCUGCUUCUCUCUCACCAGGACACUCAGCAGGACUCAAGAGUUUAAGGGAUUUUUCUCACUUUAUUGAGCUUCUAAAGUGGUUUUUAAUUCUAUGGGAAUGAUUUAGAAAUUGCUGUGAAAUGUAAUUGAUCUUCAUAAAUGUGCAUAUAAUAUAUUUUGCACUAACAAGCGUUGCAUUGUGAUUUGUUUGCACACGUGUGCCCUUCACUCCUGGAAUGCUGAGGAACGAUGUAUUAUUUUCACUUUUUAAAAAUUAACUCCUUUCUCAAAGGGAGAACAAUAGAAAGUUGCUGGAAAGAUAAUUUCUAGGAAGAAAGGUGAACUCAACCAUUUUUAUGAUUGUGUUUUUUCCUCUCGACAUUGUUUAGCAAAAGCCGGAGAACUUGUCUGUUACUCUCGCAGGACUUCUAAUUAGUCCUGGCCUCAUCUGUAUACACGUAAAGAGUAUUUAGGAUAAUCUUGCACUGCAUAUAAUUAAGCAGGGCUGUGUCCUGGUCUAUAAUCACCAGGGACUCCCUUCUGAGAAAAUGCGCUUCUUAUUUAACUGCCCAAUUUACUCCAUAGUGUGAUGCUGUCAAGGGCUACACCCUUCCCAGGUAAAUUAGUUUUCUCAGACAGACCAUAAAGCCUUGUCAGGGGAGGUGCCUCUUCCAAGAAGUCCUCCCUUUUCAUUUAUUCCGUAUGCAUUCCUCCAUCCUUCUCACCCUGUAAGUACUCAUCAAGACUGACGCCCUAAUUCUCAAGUCCCAGGGCAGAACCCCCACAGGUCUCUUGCUCAAAAAGCACGGCACAAAGCUUUCCUUUCUUUCUCUGUCUCUCUCUUGGCCUGUCGUGGUGUUUCUUAUUUGCUGUUUAACGUCACGCUCCCUGGAGCAUAAGGAUGCUAACAGGGUGAGCACAGACUCUCCUAGGUGCCUGGGCCUGCACAGCACUUGGUGCCUGGGGUCUGUGCACCCACUUUGACCCUCCCUGCACCCGCACCUGAGUCCAGGCCGCCUGCCCAGUGGCUGUGGGCAUUGGAUGGCAGCAGGGAGCAGGCAGUCAACAACCUGCAAGAGUUGGGGAGGCCAUGGGGGGCAUGACUAACCUCCUUCCCACGUGCCGUGCUCCAUUGUCCCUUUGGACUUCACUUACAAAACACUCAUUCAAAGAUAAAACUAUUAAGAAUUUCUGCCACAACUAGAAGGACCCAGAGCUAAGAUAUACAACUAUGUGCUGGGGGGAUUUGGGGAGAUAAAGCAGAAAGAAAAAAGAAAAAAAAAGAAUUUCAAGAGGUGACAGGAGCAUUAAGCCCCAAGCAUGGGGCCCUUCUGAGCCCAGGGCUGCACUGGUGGUCCGCACUUGCUACCUCUGUGGUAUCUUCUCUUCUCCAGUGUGGUGGUGGGCCCAGGAUAGACAGUUACAAGCACUUACUGAAAGCAGUCCUUUAACAGCAAGUUUCCCUGGUCAGUGGGAUGGAGGAGCAUUCUCCACGAGACUGUCUCCUGUAGGCGCUCCUACCACUGACCUGCCAGUGCCCACCAUCGAGGAAACCAGGGGUCUGGCCACGACAUUUAUCUGUAAUUUAUGCCAUUGUUCUGACUUCAGAAAGCACCACAACUUCUGUGCCAGGUUAACAUCCUCUGUCCUUAGCGGUCAUCAACGGCAUACAAGGUCGGCAGAAUGCCCAGCCACCUGCAUUGCCUAACGCAUGGCAGACUGCAUCUGUAUCCACCGGGCACAGCCAGGGGAUGCGAGAAGAGAAAGGGAUGGUUUCCAGCCUUAUUUCAAAUUUAUCUUGGCCCCUACUCCUCCAGCAGAUUUAAACGCUGUCCCUUUUGAGACACAAGUGUAUUUGCGUUGUUCCUCCAUGUCUUGAUUUUAUUACUUUUAUUUCUCUAUUUCCUGUUCACAUGUGCCUAUAUCAGAGUUUUCUACCCUCAUGUAUGAAUAUCAAGUCCUCAUUCCAUAGUUCAAUGACCCAUGCACUAAUAUGUGGUUUUGGAAACAACGUCGCUUUUCUCACCAAAAAAUUACACAUAUUACAGAAAAUCUAGAAAAUUUAGAACAGAAGAAAAUAAACAAUCACCAGAAUGGUAUCAUCAGAGAGAGUUAAUUUAGCAUUUUAGCACACGUAUUUUUGGCCUUCUUUAUACUUACACGUCUAUGGUGUCUAUAUUAUAGAGAUACUGUAAAUAUUUGCUUUUCAUCCACUUGAUAGUGUACCAUGAAUACUUGUCAUGCUGUUAAUUAUUAAUCUAAAACAUGAUUUUCAAACUUUCAGAUGCAUAAGAAUCACCUGGGAGCAUGUGGGAAACGAAGGUUCUAAGGGUCCUCACUCACAGAUCCGAACGCAUGAAUCUGAGAUGAGGACCAGAGAGCUGCCUGUUGAAAAGCAUCCCAGUGAUUCUGAUGCAGGCGCCUCCCGGCACUCACUCUGACAAACACCGUCCACAGCGCGAUUGUUAAUUGCCGCACUGUGUUUUAUUACAUAGACGUGCCAUAACUUAUUAAACCAAUCUGAUAUUGUUCAUUCAACUCUAGUUUCCAAAUUUUCAUCUGCAUGAUUAAUUCCUCAAUGAAUAACCUACUACAUAACUCUUUCUGAACCUCUCUGAUUAUUCGCUUACAAAGAUGCUACAAAGCGGAAUUACUGGGUCAAAGAGAAUGCAAACUUGAGAAAAGCAGAUGGUAUUUUGGGUAGAAAAACAACCUUCUAAGCUGUAAAGUAUUAGACUAAGAUGAAAGAUUUAACAGCUGCCGCUUUCUGAGAGACUUUCAUACACCAGGAUGGUGGUUCUCAAAAUUUAUCCCGCGUGGACUCACCUGGAGGGCUUAUAAAAACAGAUUGCUGUCGCUUCCUCCCUGCCCGCUCUGAUUCAGCAGGUGAGGUGGGGCUGGAAAGGUGCGUUUCUAACAAGUUCUCAGAUGCUGCUGAUGCUGCUGGUUUGGGGACCACACUUCGAGAACUAGACGCUAUCCCAGCUGUUUCAAGCAAGUUAUUUAAAUGCCCUGGCAGCCCUUUACAGGCGAGGGCUGAGACUCAGAGAGGGUCUGAGGCCAUGAAGCUAAUGAUGCCAGAGCCGGGCGCUCUGAUUCCAGGUUUGAUCAUUUAAUGGCUGAUGCUUUCCUACAAACAGCCUCGUUUCUUACUUCAUUUCACUGCCCACAGAUAAAAUAUUUUUUGAUGUCUUCAUAAUAAGCGCCAAAGGUUCCGGUGUAAACCGCAUCCCUCCCAAUCUCGUAGGGGUGGCUGGGCGAGGAGAGAGGUUUGGAAGUGUUGGCUGAGAAUUUUUUCAGGGGCAGCUGGUCCAAUGAGUGACACUCCACCAUUCACAUCAAUCGGAUGGGUUCCUUCCCCGCCCUCCAUGGCUUCACCGACAUGUGGACUUCCAGACAAUCACUUCUCAACAGUUACUGCAACCGGGUAAUACUUCUUCCUCAGAAGAGAGCUCUCUCUUCUCCAAAAACCACCUCCAGGCUGCUCCACACAAUGGCCCAAACAACCUGUUUGUUCAGGCAACUCAGAAAAUAAAUCAUAUCAGUGCGGAAAAACAAGGAACUCCUGUCAAACCUGCUGGUUAAUAAUACCCGGCAGAGCAAACAGCAGGGGCCUGGCAAACAAGGAGCCAGGAUGGCUUCUCCCACACUCAGGUUAAGAGAGAUAGUUCCAUUGGAUGUGGGUGCCCGAGAACAAUCCAUCCUUCCUGCCCAAUUACAUAACUCAGAAGGCGUUACUCCUAUCUGUCUUAAGGCAAAUUCGGUCUGGGCUGCUUCAUCAUGUAAGACAAGGCAGUACAUCCAACAGCGACAUAAUUGGUCUUUCUGCAUGUGCUCUGAGCCCCCACGGCUUAUUGUUAACACAGCUACUAGAGUCAUCUUUCCAAAGUGACCAUAGUCAACAUGGGGGCGCCACCUGGUACCACGAGGAGCACACCAAGAAAGAGCAGCAACACUGAAGGACUGCGGGAGCCGGACGCUGGGAAUCUGCCGUCUUUCCCUGGACUGCCCACCUCGGCUCAGCUUUCACGUGAGAGAAAUAGAUUGUGUUCUCAUGUAAGCCACAGCCAUUUUGGAUUUUCCUGUUGUGCAGUCAAACCUAACCCUAAAUAAUGCACACCUGUGAUUUGAAAGCAUUUUAGCGCUUACAAAAACACCCUAUAUUACUUAUCUCAUUUCUUCAACAAUCCUAUACAAUGCAAGGAACAGGAACUAUCAUUCCCACUUUUCAGUCGAAGAAACUGACCUUUUAGGAAGUUAAAUGACUUGCACACGGUCAAACAACUAGUAAGUAGAGAGUCUGGAUCAAAGAGAAGUUCGAUAUCUUCGUACAACUAGUCCCACCUGUUGAGACAGGGAGACACAAGCCCGGUGCACGGUCCUGGAGUGAGACAGAUCUGACUGCAGAUUUUUCUGUCUGGCUCCUCUUGUCUUAGGCGAGUUAUCUACCUUUCGUGAUCCUCAUGUAAUUAUUUGCAAGGUGGGUAAACAAUACCUCUAGGGAUCAAACGCUCCGAAUGAGAUAAGGUUUGUGGAGCUCCUGGUCCAGGGUCUGAGAUACAGCAGAUGCUCAGUAAAUAGAGCUCUUAUGGUGGCAGAUGCUUAUCAUUCUAAAGGUUAUUCAGAUGUGGGAGCAAAGGAAUGGAGGGGAGAGACUCAAAGGCUGCUUCAUCUUGAAGUUCUGUAUGUCUGUAAAGAAUUUGAAAUAUUUUUCUUUCUUUCUGGUUCAAAAGAUCAGAUUAGUGGGCCUGGGAGUGGCUAAGUUUCUUGUGUCCUCUGAACAUCUUCAAGUUAUUUCUCCCUAUCUCCAUUUGGGGAGAGACGUCACAGAAAAAUGUUUUUUGCUUUCAAGCUUCUCACAAGACUCAAGAAGAUGGGAAAGCACCCAUUCCAAAGCAAUUUCUAAAUUUCCCUUAUAGAAGUGAAGCGGGAACUCCUAGAGUAGCAAGUUGAAUUUUGUUUCUCAAAUACAGUUUGCAUGCCCCCUUCAGGUAUGUGAUAUCAGACUCAACUAGAUGAGAAAAAUGUCCUUCAAGCCCCUCAGACCUUGAAGAAAGUCAUCCAGAUGCACCCUCUGACGUGCACCUGCAACCACAACGGGGAGCCACGAUGUUUCAGAAAUGUAUCAGCAGCAGAGAGCAUGUUGCUAUUCCCCACACAAUUCAUUUGACUUCAGCAACUUUUAAUAACACCAUCGGCUUGGUGCUAAACUGUGAAACGGAUUCCAUUUUUGUAAUAUUGUUAUUCCACGGCACAGUGCUGUUAGAAGCAGUCCCAGAAGCAAAGACAUCGUGCAGCAGCUGUGCAGAGCUGGCUUCUCAUCACAGCUGAACGCCAACAUGGGCGAAUCAAUGAGGAAGACACCCCCACUUCUGCGGACCUACAGCCGCCAGUUCCAAAGGCACAUAAAUAUCAAGCAUCCUGCAAGAGAAGUGACAUGGCAGCAGGGAGAAUGACAGUCAAGCCCUCCGUGGCCGGGAGCACAUAGAGGGUAAUCCUGCAGUGGCUGUUGUGACAGCAUCUAGUUUGUGGCCACUUUCGUCCCUCGCAAUCUUUUCUGCCCACCAGCAUAGCAAGAGGUCUCAUGGUUGCUUUUCAAUACUGAAGAUUUUGCUGGGUCCUGACUGUACUUCAUCUCUAAAGUGAAGCCUUUCCGGAUGCUUAUGUGCUGCUCCUUGACUCACUGACCUUAGGCUGCGUCCCUUUUCUGACAAGUGCCCUUUCUUACCACGUUUUUCACCCAUCUUGCUAUCUGACUCCAGAUUACAUUAAAUCAACUUUUAAUUUAUUUAGGUAAAUAGCAUUUAGGAAAGCUUUUAUGUCAUUUUAAAAAAGCAACUUCUAUUCAACUGGUAAUGGCCCUGGGAAGUUAUACACAUCUGGCUGUCAAGACUUAAAUGCACAUAUAGUUCUUUGGUGCAUGUGUAUGUUAUAAGUAAAAUUCAGAUGCUGAAGAUUAUUUGGACAGACACGGAACUCUGUUAAUUAGAGCUGCCUCUUCAGGAUCGGAACCUGAGAAUUGUGCUCUUAUUAUGUAAUACACAGGCAAAGUAGGUUACUGUACCUGACGUGGGGCAAAUGUUUAUAAUGUCCAGCCAGAACUGUCACCUGAGGACACAGAGAACAAAGAAACAGAAAGCCCUAAUCAGAUUAGAGCUUAACGAACCCACCUCCGGCUAGCUGUGGACUCGCCCAUGCCAGGCCGUGCCAACGAACAAACAGUAGGACAAAAAUGAGAGAACCAAACCUCUUCUGAAUUAUUUACAUUCUUCUGGUCGCUGUAAUUACAGGAUAUUUUUCAUUUUCUGUUACAACUUGCUCCCAUGCUGAUAUGUUUUUAAGUUGCGAUUUGUUCUCUGUUGCGAGAUAGUUAUGGUAAUCAUUAAAAUGGGCAAAAUUUCUUUCUGAAACAUAUAAAAAAUAAUAGCUGUGUAUGUUUCCACAGAACUGGCGUUUGUGGAUGAAUGGCAGUUCCAGUUAGGUUUUAUAUAAUUUAGCACAAACAUUGCUAGACUGCAAACAUACCACACACAGAACAUCAUAAUAUAAAUUAUGUAGUCCGAAUAAAAUAUCAGGAAAAUCACAUAGUUAAUAUAUUUAUAUAUUUGUCCUUUAUUCCUAAAUAUGAAUUUUUAAGGGAACAUUUUUUCCUGAUAACUAAAACAAUACGUGUUUACUUUAGAAGAGAUGGAAAAAACAAAAAUAAAAAGGAGUCAAUAAGAAUCACUCAUAAUCCUACAACCCAGAGACAUCCAUUCUGUUACCUAGGGGUGGGUAGUUAACUCUGUUAAUUAGGUACAUGCACCCUACUUCUAGUUUUUUUUCUAUACGUUUUAUUUUACAAAAUUGUAUUAUACUGUAACUGUUUUAUAGUCUUAAACAUAUAUGUAUGUAACUGGCAUAUAUAUAUAUAUAGUAACUGGC